rnacentral:rRNA from 1 species
GACGAACGCUGGCGGCGUGCUUAACACAUGCAAGUCGAGCGGUAAGGCCCUUUCGGGGGUACACGAGCGGCGAACGGGUGAGUAACACGUGGGUGACCUGCCCUUAGCUCUGGGAUAAGCCUGGGAAACUGGGUCUAAUACCGGAUAUGACUCCAUGACGCAUGUUGUGGGGUGGAAAGCCUUGUGCGGCUAGGGAUGGUCCCGCGGCCUAUCAGCUUGUUGGUGGGGUGAUUGCCUACCAAGGCGACGACGGGUAGCCGGCCUGAGAGGGCGACCGGCCACACUGGGACUGAGACACGGCCCAGACUCCUACGGGAGGCAGCAGUGGGGAAUCUUGCGCAAUGGGCGAAAGCCUGACGCAGCGACGCCGCGUGAGGGAUGACGGCCUCGGUUGUAACGUACUU